rnacentral:ncRNA from 1 species
GUAGGGAAAGCCGAAAACCUAAUAGAGUAGGCA